AAAUCCUUUGAAUCGACGGAUAUUGUAUUUUCAAAUCUAACGAGUAGUAUCAUAUUUUCCUAUUUUACUCUCGGUAAAAUUCCUGACUCCAUUAUUAAUAUUUACCCUUGUAAAAUUCUGGACUCCGUCAUUAUUACUAUUUAUAUGCCAUUUUUACCCUCGUAAAAUUCAUGACUCCAUUAUUAAUAUUUAUAUCCCCUUUUUACCCUCGCGAAAUUCUGAACUCCAUCAUUAUUAACAUUUAUAU
rnacentral:misc_RNA from 1 species